UGGGGAAUUUUGGACAAUGGGGGAAACCCUGAUCCAGCCAUCCCGCGUGUGCGAUGAAGGCCUUCGGGUUGUAAAGCACUUUUGGCAGGAAAGAAACGUCAUGGGUUAAUACCCCGUGAAACUGACGGUACCUGCAGAAUAAGCACCGGCUAACUACGUGCCAGCAGCCGCGGUAAUACGUAGGGUGCAAGCGUUAAUCGGAAUUACUGGGCGUAAAGCGUGCGCAGGCGGUUCGGAAAGAAAGAUGUGAAAUCCCAGAGCUCAACUUUGGAACUGCAUUUUCAACUACCGGGCUAGAGUGUGUCAGAGGGAGGUGGAAUUCCGCGUGUAGCAGUGAAAUGCGUAGAUAUGCGGAGGAACACCGAUGGCGAAGGCAGCCUCCUGGGAUAACACUGACGCUCAUGCACGAAAGCGUGGGGAGCAAACAGG
rnacentral:rRNA from 1 species